ACUUUGACUGUUUAUUUUAAUUUAUUUUUAUUUUUAUUAUUAAAUUAAAUAUUUAUAUUUAAAUAAUUUUAUAAAAUAAAGAGAAAACUUUAAAAAUUCUUCUUGUGGUUUCACUCUUUCUCACUUCAGUAUCCAGUAGUUUAAAGUGUAUCAAAUUAGUACCCUGUGGUUUUGCACUUUUUCACUUUAGUACAUUAUGGUUUAAAGUGUAUCAAGUUAGUACCCUAUGGUUUCGCACUUUCUCACUUUAGCGCCCUAUGGUUUCGCACUUUCUCACUUUAGUUCCAUGUGGUUUAAAAAUCACAGGGUACUAACUUGAUACAAAAAUAAAACCACCAAAUACUAAUUUGAUACAAAAAAAAAUCAGAUAGUACUAACUUGUUACACUUUAAAUCAAAGGGUACUAACUUGAUACACUUUAAAACACAGGAUACUAAAAUAAAAAAGUACGAAACUAUAGGAGGGUUUUUGAAGUUUUUCCUAAAAUGAAUAAACAAAUAUUCUAAGUUAGUGUUUGAUUGAGAGAUAAAAGAGGAGGACCUAAACAAACAAACAAAAAAAAAACAAAAGGGGGGGGGUGGGACAAUAAUCCUAUUCCUUACGUAGGAAUAGGGGUGGGAACAGUUGUUUCCACUCUAUUUAAUUUUUAAAAUUUAAAUUUAUAACUUGAAUUUAAAUUUUUAAUUCUAAAAAUUUAUAAUUUAUAAUUUUAAAUUUUUUAAAUUUAUAAUUUGAUAUUUUAUAUUUUUAAAUUUAGAUUUAGUCUUAAAUUUAAAAUUUAGAACUUUGGAUUUUUAAAUUUGAGAUUUAAAAAUUAUAAUUUUAAUUUUGAAUUUUUAAAGUUUAAAAGUUAUAUAUUUAAAUUUAAAAAUUUAGAUAUAAAAUUUUAAAUUUUAAAUUCAAAUAUAACAUAAGAAGCAAUAUCAUUAUUUUCUGUUUAUAACUAUCCAUUAUUCUUUUUAUUCCAUUUUAUCUAUUCAAAUGUUAUUUUUCUUAUUUCUGGAAACAUCUUAAUUUCCAUCCAAACAUAAAAUUGGUCUAUUUCUUGUUUAUAUCUGAACUUAUAUCUAUUCCUGAAAUAGACAGUUCUUGCUUAUAUCUGAACCAAAUAGAGACGUGCAUGGGAUUAUGAUUUGUGCAUAAAAAGUUUGUGGGGUUGAGAAAUUUUGCAAUUUAAGUAUUUUUUUUGAGAAAUA
rnacentral:lncRNA from 1 species